UAAGAGAUUUUGCUGUGACUCUUAUGUGGAUGAUGUUAAAAAUAUGUGUUAGUCUGAUGUGAUUAAUGAGGAGCAUCCAGAUGCUACACUUGAUGAAUUUAUAAAAUUGCUUCUUCCAAUUAUUGAUAAACAUGAACCUGUUAAGAAACGGACUGUUAGAACUGUUAAGGCUCCAUGGAUUGAUGAGGAAUUGAAAAACGGUAUGGUUGAAAGAAAUGGGGCUAAAAGGAAGUGGCUAAUAAGUCUGGCUGCAGGUCUGACUGGCUGACUUCCUGCAAAAUGAGAAAUGAUGUGACUAAACUCAACAAAAAGAAGAAACUGUAUUAUGAAGCCAAGAUCAAUGUUAAUGUAUAGAUGUGUGUGUGUGAUUACUAACAUAACAGGUUAGGAUUACUAACAUAACAGGUUAGGAUUACUAAUGGAGCAGGUUAGGAUUACUAAAGUAGCAGGUUAGGAUUACUAACAUAGCAUGUUAGGAUUACUAACAUAGCAGGUUAGGAUUAUUAACAUAGCAGGUUAGGAUUACUAAAGUAGAAGGUUAGGAUUACUAACGUAGCAGAUUAGGAUUACUAACAUAGCAGGUUAGGAUUACUAAAGUAGCAGUUAGGAUUACUAACGUAGCAGGUUAGGAUUACUAAAGUAGCAGGUUAGGAUUACUAAAGUAGAAGGUUAGGAUUACUAAAGUAGCAGAGUAGGAUUACUAAAGUAGCAGUUAGGAUUACCAACGUAGCGGGUUAGGAUUACUAAAGUAGCGGGUUAGGAUUACUAACGUAGAAGGUUAGGAUUACUAAAGUAGCAGGUUAGGAUUACUAACAUAGCAGGUUAGGAUUACUAAAGUAGCAGAUUAGGAUUACUAAAGUAGAAGGUUAGGAUUACUAAAGUAGAAGGUUAGGAUUACUAACGUAGCAGGUUAGGAUUACUAACGUAGAAGGUUAGGAUUAUUAAUGUAGCAGGUUAGGAUUACUAAAGUAGCCGGUUAGGAUUACUGAAGUGGCAGGUUAGGAUUACUAAAGUAGCAGGUUAGGAUUACUAAAGUGGCAGGUUAGGAUUACUAAAGUAGAAGGUUAGGAUUACUAACGUAGCAGGUUAGGAUUACUAACGUAGAAGGUUAGGAUUAUUAAUGUAGCAGGUUAGGAUUAUUAAAGUAGCAGGUUAGGAUUACUGAAGUGGCAGGUUAGGAUUACUAAAGUGGCAGGUUAGGAUUACUGAAGUGGCAGGUUAGGAUUACUAAAGUAGCAGGUUAGGAUUACUAAAGUGGCAGGUUAGGAUUACUAAAGUAUCAGGUUAGGAUUACUAAAGUAGCAGGUUAGGAUUACUAAAGUAGCAGGUUAGGAUUACUAAAGUGGCAGGUUAGGAUUACUAAAGUAUCAGGUUAGGAUUACUAAAGUAGCAGGUUAGGAUUACUAAAGUAGCAGGUUAGGAUUACUGAAGUGGCAGGUUAGGAUUACUAAAGUAUCAGGUUAGGAUUACUAAAGUAUCAGGUUAGGAUUACUAAAGUAACAGAUUAGGAGUACUAAAGUAUCAGAUUAGGAUUACUAAAGUAGCAGGUUAGGAUUACUAAAGUAGAAGGUUAGGAUUACUAAAGUAGCAGAGUAGGAUUACUAAAGUAGCAGUUAGGAUUACCAACGUAGCGGGUUAGGAUUACUAAAGUAGCGGGUUAGGAUUACUAACGUAGAAGGUUAGGAUUACUAAAGUAGCAGGUUAGGAUUACUAACAUAGCAGGUUAGGAUUACUAAAGUAGCAGAUUAGGAUUACUAAAGUAGAAGGUUAGGAUUACUAAAGUAGAAGGUUAGGAUUACUAACGUAGAAGGUUAGGAUUAUUAAUGUAGCAGGUUAGGAUUACUAAAGUAGCAGGUUAGGAUUACUGAAGUGGCAGGUUAGGAUUACUAAAGUAGAAGGUUAGGAUUACUAAAGUGGCAGGUUAGGAUUACUAAAGUAGAAGGUUAGGAUUACUAACGUAGCAGGUUAGGAUUACUAAAGUAUCAGGUUAGGAUUACUAAAGUAUCAGAUUAGGAUUACUAAAGUAGCAGGUUAGGAUUACUAAAGUAGCAGGUUAGGAUUACUAAAGUAGAAGGUUAGGAUUACUAACGUAGCAGGUUAGGAUUACUAACGUAGCAGGUUAGGAUUACU
rnacentral:lncRNA from 1 species